UAAAUGACUUGGUGUAGUUAUAGGGUGAAGGCCUAUCCCUUGCACUGUGAGCAGGUUGACCCCUGGGAGAGUCUACAAAUGUAAGGAUCUCAGCUAAACAAUUUAUGGUGAUGGGGGAUUGAUUUCGAGCUUUCCCUCU
rnacentral:snRNA from 1 species